AAAAAUAUUUAAUACUCUUAAAUACAGGACAAGAAGAAAAUUAUAUAGCAAAAUAUCUAGUAAAAAAUGAAGAAAUAAAAACUGAUAAUGAUAUAUGCACAGAUCUACCAAGAAGUUUAAUAAAUAGUAAAAAUAUAGCAGAAAAAAAAAUAAUAAUAGGAAUUAGAAAAAUAAAAAUAGAAUUUGAAGUAAAGGAAGAAAUGCAAA
rnacentral:lncRNA from 1 species